UACGUAGGGGGCAAGCGUUGUCCGGAAUCAUUGGGCGUAAAGAGCGCGUAGGCGGCCCGAUAAGUCCGCUGUGAAAGUCGAGGGCUCAACCCUCGAAUGCCGGUGGAUACUGUCGGGCUUGAGUACGGGAGAGGCGAGUGGAAUUCCUGGUGUAGCGGUGAAAUGCGUAGAUAUCGGGAGGAACAUCAGUGGCGAAGGCGGCCUUCUGGUCCAGUACUGACACUCAAGUGCGAAAGCGUGGGGAGCAAACAGG
rnacentral:rRNA from 1 species